rnacentral:misc_RNA from 1 species
AACCAUAGAAACCUGCGGAGUACCUGCGGAGGGAUCAUUAUAGUAUAUGGAAUCUCCAUGCUAUAAACCCACUCUGCGUAUCUUGUAACUGUUGCUUCCAUGGGACUUGGUUCCGCCACACCGGCUUCACGGCUGGUGAGCGCCCAUGGAAGGAGAAACAAAACUCUUCUUUGAAAUGUAGUCAGUCUGAACAAGUUUUUAUAAACGUUAAAACUUUCAGCAAUGGAUCUCAGAUCGGAA